rnacentral:rRNA from 1 species
UGGGGAAUAUUGCACAAUGGGCGCAAGCCUGAUGCAGCCAUGCCGCGUGUGUGAAGAAGGCCUUCGGGUUGUAAAGCACUUUCAGCGAGGAGGAAGGGCAGUGUGUUAAUAGCACAUUGCAUUGACGUUACUCGCAGAAGAAGCACCGGCUAACUCCGUGCCAGCAGCCGCGGUAAUACGGAGGGUGCAAGCGUUAAUCGGAAUUACUGGGCGUAAAGCGCACGCAGGCGGUUUGUUAAGUCAGAUGUGAAAUCCCCGCGCUUAACGUGGGAACUGCAUUUGAAACUGGCAAGCUAGAGUCUUGUAGAGGGGGGUAGAAUUCCAGGUGUAGCGGUGAAAUGCGUAGAGAUCUGGAGGAAUACCGGUGGCGAAGGCGGCCCCCUGGACGAAGACUGACGCUCAGGUGCGAAAGCGUGGGGAGCAAACA